UACGAGGGGGGCAAGCGUUGUUCGGAAUUAUUGGGCGUAAAGGGCGCGUAGGCGGUGCGGUAAGUCUGAUGUGAAAUCUCCGGGCUCAACUCGGAGUCUGCAUCAGAAACUGCCGUGCUCGAGUGUGGGAGAGGUGAGUGGAAUUCCCAGUGUAGCGGUGAAAUGCGUAGAUAUCGGGAGGAACACCUGUGGCGAAAGCGGCUCACUGGACCACAACUGACGCUGAGGCGCGAAAGCUAGGGGAGCAAACAGG
rnacentral:rRNA from 1 species